GGGGUGCUCCGAGGAGGCCCCGCCAUGGUGCCGGGAGCGGGCACCGAGCUGCAGAGGCGCCUCUGCCCCGCCACGGGGCCCCGUGGCUGGGCGCUGAGGGAACGGCCGCGGGGCCCCGGGCGGGAGGAAGAGGAGGAUGAGGAAGAUGAGGACGGAGCCGGGAGCUGAAGGCCAGGAGCCGCCGUGGGCAGAAGGCAAAGGGUGAAAUGAGCAAGGUUUUUCGGCAUGAGAAAGAUCUUUCAGCAUGAAGAACCAAGGAGAAAGGUGUGUGAAGUGGUAGACCCAGGAGGUCUUCUCCAAGACAGGAGGUCUCCUCCAAGACCUGAGGAAAUUCUGAAGGCAGUUGUUUGAAAAGAUACUUCCGCGCAACAAAGCUGUGUUUGAGAACGGGUCCGAGUUGUUUUGCAGUUUGCAUCAAAUGUUGAAGAUCAUGCCUUGAAUUUUAAAACUUCUCGCAAACCUGGCUACAGUGAAAGAAAUGGUUUAGGAGUGUCUGCAUUUGAAGAUUCCUAAAGCUUCGUCUUUUUUCUUACAUGGCUCAAGCAAACUACAGCCAGCAAAACCUCACGCAAUACUUGAAUGUAGUUCUGAAUGUUUGCUGUAACCUGUGUGCUCAAAUGUAUAGCUCCAAGUGUCCUGCUUUUCGUGUACUCUUGAUGAAGAGCCUUGAAAGUUGUGGGCUUUAAUUUCUGCCAGUAAUCUUGGCUCACACGCGAAGUGAACACAUUCACGCCCAUAUUUUGAAGCACUGUUGUCUCGAUGUGUUUUCUCCAUAUGGCUGAAGAGGCUUAAAAUAAAACUACUAUAAAAACGCUA